UUCCUUUUGUGUCCUUUUCACGUCUCCGCAACAAGGCACCCGACUUGGGUAAAAGUUGCAGAAGCAGGAUCGACGUGAGAAAAAAGUUAAGCGCAAAGCAAGCCGAGCUCUUGGCUGCGCCUUUGUUUGGUGCCGGGGGACGCGAGGAGCGGGCGCACACCCGAGGGGCGGCGGGCGAGGGAGAGCCACUUAGCUCAGAUAGACGGACCCGCAGCAAUUGCAUUGUUUUCUCCUCCUCCUUCCCCUGCCGCCCCGUCCAACCGUUUGGAAGAGGAAGGAGGAGAAAGCGGAAGGGGUUAUCCUUCUGUCUCCUAAGGUAAACAGUGUGAAUAUCUCUGAAGCAGGAUAUCUGCCAGCAAGCUACGUCUAAAUCUGUAUCAACCAGAACCAGACAGACGCCAUGUUUUAUUAGCCUUCACAUUGUGGAAUACAGUGUUAACCAAAGAAGACACCAAUAUUAAAGGAUUUAUAAGUUGUAAGAAUUUAUCCGAAUGGAAGCUGGUGAAAAUGUAGUUGAAUGGCUUGGUCACCUCUGUGAUUCAGAAUAAGGUAGAACUCGUGUCAGUGCAGUGAAUGAUGAUUUAUCUUUGAGAGAGUCAGUAAUUAAAGGAUUUACUUGUGGGGCUGUGAGUUCCUUCCCGUUGCAGGACAGAUACCUGAGGCUGUCUCUUCAAUCAGUAACUGAGCCCAAGAUAGGAUCAACAGCACCACCAGCACAAGAACCUAUCUUGUGGACAAUGGAGACCUAAAGGAAGUAGCUUAUGCAAUCCAAAACCAAAAUGAAAUUGAAGAGAAAUAUAACAUAAAAUAUGUGCAGGAGAAGUCAGAACUCAGCAAGCAACCAGAGGCUGCGCAUCACACAGUGAAGCUCAGACCUGUACCCUAUGAGGCCUCUUCACCACAACUUCCUUUUUCAGGUUUGUACUAUACAACCUGUAUAUACCUUUGUUUCAGGAUAUGGCUGGUAACUCUUGAUUGUUUGGGGAGC